AUACUAUGGUGGGGAAGCUUCCUCUGUAGAGCAGCCACAGUCUUUUACUUGUCCCUAUUGUGGAAAAAUGGGCUGUACGGAGACAUCUCUUCAAGAACAUGUUACUUCUGAACAUGCAGAAACAUCAACAGAAGUGAUUUGUCCAAUAUGUGCAGCGUUACCUGGAGGCGAUCCUAAUCAUGUCACGGAUGACUUUGCAGCUCAUCUUACACUUGAACA